rnacentral:rRNA from 1 species
UACAGAGGGGGCAAGCGUUGUUCGGAAUUAUUGGGCCUAAAGCAUCCGUAGCCGGUCCUGCAAGUCUUCCGUUAAAUCCAGCUGCUCAACAGAUGGGCUGCGGGAGAUACUACAGGGCUAGGAGGCGGGAGAGGCAAGCGGUACUUUAUGGGUAGGGGUAAAAUCCGCUGAUCCAUAGAAGACCACCAGUGGCGAAGGCGGCUUGCCAGAACGCGCUCGACGGUGAGGGAUGAAAGCUGGGGGAGCAAACCGG